rnacentral:rRNA from 1 species
ACGGGUGAGUAACACGUGGAUAAUCUACCCUCUAGUGGGGAAUACCGCCGCGAAAGUGGCGACAAUUCCGCAUAAGCUCGAGAGAGGAAAGCAGCAAUGCGCUGGAGGAGGAGUCCGCGGCUGAUUAGCUAGUUGGUGAGGUAAUGGCUCACCAAGGCUUAGAUCAGUAGCCGGCCUGAGAGGGCACACGGCCACACUGGCACUGAAACACGGGCCAGACUCCUACGGGAGGCAGCAGUGGGGAAUCUUGCACAAUGGGGGAAACCCUGAUGCAGCGACGCCGCGUGAGCGAUGAAGCCCUUCGGGGUGUAAAGCUCUUUCGGCAGGGAAGAUGAUGACGGUACCUGCAGAAGCAGCUGCGGCUAACUACGUGCCAGCAGCCGCGG